CAGCAGCCGCGGGAAUACGUAGGUGGCGAGCGUUGUCCGGAAUCAUUGGGCGUAAAGGGAGCGCAGGCGGGCACGUAAGUCUUUCUUAAAAGUUCGGGGCUCGACCCCGUGAUGGGAAAGAAACUACAUGUCUUGAGUACAGGAGAGGAAAGCGGAAUUCCCAGUGUAGCGGUGAAAUGCGUAGAUAUUGGGAGGAACACCAGUGGCGAAGGCGGCUUUCUGGACUGCAACUGACGCUGAGGCUCGAAAGCCAGGGGAGCGAACGGGAUUAGAUACCCCUGUAGUCCCUGUCUCUUAUACC
rnacentral:rRNA from 1 species